UACGGAGGAUGCGAGCGUUAUCCGGAUUUAUUGGGUUUAAAGGGUGCGCAGGCGGGAGAUUAAGUCGGCGGUGAAAUUUUGCAGCUCAACUGUAAAAGUGCCUUCGAAACUGGUUUCCUUGAGUGUGGAUGAAGUAGGCGGAAUUUGUGGUGUAGCGGUGAAAUGCUUAGAUAUCACGAGGAACUCCGAUUGCGCAGGCAGCUUACUAAACCAUAACUGACGCUCAGGCACGAAGGCGUGGGGAUCAAACAGGAUUAGAUACCCCGGUAGUCCCU
rnacentral:rRNA from 1 species